rnacentral:rRNA from 1 species
AUUGAACGCUGGCGGCAGGCUUAACACAUGCAAGUCGAGCGCGCGGCGGACGGGUGAGUAAUGUCUGGGAAACUGCCUGAUGGAGGGGGAUAACUACUGGAAACGGUCGCUAAUACCGCAUACCAUCAGAUGUGCCCAGAUGGGAUUGGCUAGUAGGUGGGGUAAUGGCUCACCUAGGCGACGCUCCCUAGCUGGUCUGAGAGGAGGACCAGCCACAAUGGAACUGAGACACGGUCCAGACUGCUACGGGAGGGAGCAGGGGGGAAUAUUGCACAAUGGGCGCAAGCCUGAUGCAGCCAUGCCGCGUGUGUGAAGAAGGCCUUCGGGUUGUAAAGCACUUUCAGCGAGGAGGCGUUACUCGCAGAAGAAGCACCGGCUAACUCCGUGCCAGCAGCCGCGGUAAUUC